rnacentral:rRNA from 1 species
CUGGCCUUGACAUCCAGAGAACUUUCCAGAGAUGGAUUGGUGCCUUCGGGAACUCUGAGACAGGUGCUGCAUGGCCGUCGUCAGCUCGUGUCGUGAGAUGUUGGGUUAAGUCCCGUAACGAGCGCAACCCCUAUCCCUGGUUGCUAGCAGGUAAUGCUGAGAACUCCAGGGAGACUGCCGGUGACAAACCGGAGGAAGGUGGGGAUUACGUCAGGUCAUCAUGGCCCUUACGGCCAGGGCUACACACGUGCUACAAUGGCGCGUACAGAGGGCUGCCAACUCGCGAGAGUGAGCCAAUCCCUUAAAACGCGUCGUAGUCCGGAUCGGAGUCUGCAACUCGACUCCGUGAAGUCGGAAUCGCUAGUAAUCGCGAAUCAGAAUGUCGCGGUGGAUACGUUCCC